rnacentral:rRNA from 1 species
CCUACGGGAGGCAGCAGUAGGGAAUAUUGCUCAAUGGGGGAAACCCUGAAGCAGCAACGCCGCGUGGAGGAUGAAGGUUUUCGGAUUGUAAACUCCUUUUUUUAGAGAGGAUAAUGACGGUAUCUAACGAAUAAGCACCGGCUAACUCCGUGCCAGCAGCCGCGGUAAUACGGAGGGUGCAAGCGUUACUCGGAAUCACUGGGCGUAAAGAGCGCGUAGGCGGGAUAGCAAGUCAGAUGUGAAAUCCUAUGGCUUAACCAUAGAACUGCAUUUGAAACUGUUAUUCUAGAGUAUGGGAGAGGUAGGUGGAAUGCUUGGUGUAGGGGUGAAAUGCGUAGAGAUCAAGCGGAAUACUCAUUGCGAAGGCGACCUGCUAGACCAUAACUGACGCUGAUGCGCGAAAGCGUGGGGAGCAAACAGGAUUAGAUACCCCGGUAGUC